rnacentral:rRNA from 1 species
UACGUAGGGGGCAAGCGUUGUCCGGAUUUAUUGGGCGUAAAGAGCGUGUAGGCGGCCAGGUAGGUGGGUUGUGAAAACUGGAGGCUCAACCUUCAGACGUCGACCCAAACCCCCUGGCUAGAGUCCGGAAGAGGAGAGUGGAAUUCCUGGUGUAGCGGUGAAAUGCGCAGAUAUCAGGAGGAACACCGAGUGGCGAAGGCAGGUCACUGGGCCGCAACUGACGCUGAGGAGCGAAAGCAUGGGGAGCGAACAGG